AUGCCGCUGACCGGUGCAGAGAUGCAUCUUAUCCUUCGGGUACAGCGGACACAGGUGGUGGCAUGGUUGUCGUCAGCUCGUGUCGUGAGAUGUUGGGUUAAGUCCCGCAACGAGCGCAACCCUUGUCUUUAGUUGCCAUCAUUAAGUUGGGCACUCUAGCGAGACUGCCGGUAAUAAACCGGAGGAAGGUGGGGAUGACGUCAAAUCAUCAUGCCCCUUAUGACCUGGGCUACACACGUGCUACAAUGGUUGGUACAACGAGUUGCGAGUCGGUGACGGCGAGCUAAUCUCUUAAGGCCAAUCUCAGUUCGGAUUGUAGGCUGCAACUCGCCUACAUGAAGUCGGAAUCGCUAGUAAUCGCGGAUCAGAAUGCCACGGUGAAUACGUUCCCGGGCCUU
rnacentral:rRNA from 1 species